rnacentral:rRNA from 1 species
UACGUAGGGUGCGAGCGUUGUCCGGAAUUAUUGGGCGUAAAGAGCUCGUAGGCGGUGUGUCACGUCGGCCGUGAAAACCUGCAGCUUAACUGUGGGCGUGCGGUCGAUACGGGCAUCACUGGAGUUCGGCAGGGGAGACUGGAAUUCCUGGUGUAGCGGUGAAAUGCGCAGAUAUCAGGAGGAACACCGGUGGCGAAGGCGGUUCUCUGGGAAUGUCCUGACGCUGAGGCGCGAAAGCGUGGGUAGCAAACGGG